rnacentral:lncRNA from 1 species
GCUUAGAUGGGGUGUUGUUUCCAUUUACAAGAGCACAUCUAGCUUUCUUACGAUCCCUUGCCUCCUUUGUUUUUUUAAGUAUUGCAUCCCUGUUUAACGCAUACCUCUCCCUUUCCCUUAUCUCUUCAAUUCUUUUGGAUGUGUUUUCUGACCUGCGAGGCAAUGAAAUACUCAAGAUAUACAAGGUCGAUGUAGGUAAGAGUCGGUG